GAUGAACGCUAGCUACAGGCUUAACACAUGCAAGUCGAGGGGCAGCGGGGAUCUAGCUUGCUAGAUUUGCCGGCGACCGGCGCACGGGUGAGUAACACGUAUCCAACCUGGCCCAUACUCGGGUAUAGCCUCUCGAAAGGGAGAUUAAUCCCCGAUGUUGUUGCGAUUCCGCAUGGUGUUGCAACCAAAGAAUUUCGGUAUGGGAUGGGGAUGCGUUCCAUUAGCUUGUUGGAGGGGUAACGGCCCACCAAGGCGACGAUGGAUAGGGGUUCUGAGAGGAAGGUCCCCCCACACUGGAACUGAGACACGGUCCAGACUCCUACGGGAGGCAGCAGUGAGGAAUAUUGGUCAAUGGGCGUAAGCCUGAACCAGCCAAGUAGCGUGAAGGAAGACUGCCCUACGGGUUGUAAACUUCUUUGUUUGGGAAUAAAGUGCGUCACGUGUGGCGUUUUGUAUGUACCAUUCGAAUAAGCAUCGGCUAAUUCCGUG
rnacentral:rRNA from 1 species